ACACUCUCUCACCUCUUUUACCGAAUCCCUACUCUCCCAAACCCUUCUCCAACACUCGACGCUCUCAAACCCUUAUCUCCCAAAACCCUUCUCUCCUCCUUGCAAAAACCAACCGACCCUCUCUCUCUCUCUCUUUGUUUAUUGAGGUUUGGUGGUGUUUUCGUAGGGUGUAUGGCAAUGCAGAUGGGAAAAUAACAAGAGAGGAAGUGCAAGAGGUGAGGAUUUUUCUUCUCUUCUUCCAUAUGCAGCCAUGGCGAGUGCUUUUACGAACAAGCUAUUGAAGUCGAAAGAACAAGCAGAAGAAUACCCCUUUUUGAUCAUGGAAGAACUCAACCCUAAAAAUUUUGGCUACAUCACGGUACACCGUGCUUCCAAUCAUAGCCCAAAUCAUCAAGGACAUGCCUCAACAAUUGAAAGUGAGGCUUCUAGAGGAAGUGGGAGAGCAUGAUAGAGAACAGAUAUUGUUUGGUGCAACAACAUAAAGGAUGACAACUAUUGAGGAAAUAGUGGGCAUGUAUGUGUUGUGUGGUAAGAAGAUAAGAAC